UAAGGAAUAUUGGACAAUGGUCGCAAGACUGAUCCAGCCAUGCCGCGUGCAGGAAGACGGCCCUAUGGGUUGUAAACUGCUUUUGUACCAGAGAAAACCUAUCUACGUGUAGAUAGCUGAUAGUAUGGUAAGAAUAAGCAUCGGCUAACUUCGUGCCAGCAGCCGCGGUAAGACGAAGGAUGCAAGCGUUACUCGGAAUUACUGGGCGUAAAGCGUGCGUAGGCGGUCUGUUAAGUCUGCUGUGAAAUCCCCGGGCUCAACCUGGGAAUGGCAGUCGAAACUGGCGGGCUAGAGUACGGUAGAGGAUUGUGGAAUUCCCGGUGUAGCGGUGAAAUGCGUAGAGAUCGGCAACAACACCAGUGGCGAAGGCGGCCAUCUGGACCAGUACUGACGCUGAGGCACGAAAGCGUGGGGAGCAAACA
rnacentral:rRNA from 1 species